UGAACAUUCCAGGCUCUGUGAACUAAGUGACUGAAGCUGAUUGACACAGGUCAAGGGGACUUCAAGGAAGAAAGCCAGCCUUAGACUGACAUCAGAGAACCAAACUCCGGUGUCUAAGCUCAAGUAAUACAAGUAAUUGGGAAGACACUGGCUCAGAGCCUGUCUCUGGUGACCACUGAAUUGUCCAGCACCUGAGGUCCCUGGAGCCCACGGACUGAGCCCAUCUGGGCUAAAAGAGGUCCCAUACAUCCUUCUCAAAGGCCUAUAUAAAUGCCAAGCAGAGUUAUAGCAGGAGGUUAGAAUCCUGAGAACUGUUUGGAAUAAGGAAUCCAAAUAUUGUCUUCCAGCUUCACCUUGUCACGACAGUCCUCGCCAGGGACAGCUGAGACCUCUUCUCUGCCUCCCAGCUCCCAUGGCGCCUCUCUCGAUACGUGGCCUCUUCUGAUACUUACCUCAGCUUGGACACAGCUCUCUGAAGAUCAUCUACAUCUCCAUUUAUGCCGUGUGCACGCAGUACCAACAGAGGUCAGAGGAGGGUGUCGGAUCCCCUGGAACUGGAGUCACAGAUUCUUCCUUGCGUGGAUGAAACAGUCCCAACGAACACUUUAAAAAGACAAAUGUUCCCGACAGCACUGGUUGAAUUCAAAACUCGGCAGAUCCAUGUUCUUAUCCUUAGACAAGAGAGGGGCCAUAACAAGAUGGAAUGACGGAACAGACGUGAGAGAUGAUGGUACAGUGACUCGGGUAACCCCAGAAAAGGGACAGCUCUUCUACAGCUCAGUGGGGACAGGGACAAAAAGAAACAAUUUCAUUUCAGUCCACCCAGAGGGUCUGCACUUCUCGGAGCCAGAAGGUGGAGAAGAGUAGGGAUGGAGGAAGUUCGAAGUUUUAGGAGUCUGCUCUUGGGUCCCUAGGCAUGAGGACAAGCUUUUCCUGUACUCAAUGCUCAUCUCUCAGUUGUGCCCACAUUGGUACACAUUACUUGCUUUCAACUGCUGCUGCUGCUGUUUCCUAAUUCAAUAAAGAUAUGGCUGGCUCAGCAGAGAGCUGUCAUCCA
rnacentral:lncRNA from 1 species